GACGAACGCUGGCGGCGUGCUUAACACAUGCAAGUCGAACGGAAAGGCCCUGCUUUUGUGGGGUGCUCGAGUGGCGAACGGGUGAGUAACACGUGAGUAACCUGCCCUUGACUUUGGGAUAACUUCAGGAAACUGGGGCUAAUACCGGAUAGGAGCUCCUGCUGCAUGGUGGGGGUUGGAAAGUUUCGGCGGUUGGGGAUGGACUCGCGGCUUAUCAGCUUGUUGGUGGGGUAGUGGCUUACCAAGGCUUUGACGGGUAGCCGGCCUGAGUGGGUGACCGGCCACAUUGGGACUGAGAUUCGGCCCAGACUCCUACGGGAGGCAGCAGUGGGGAAUAUUGCACAAUGGGCGGAAGCCUGAUGCAGCAACGCCGCGUGCGGGAUGACGGCCUUCGGGUUGUAAACCGCUUUCGCCUGUGACGAAGCGUGAGUGACGGUAAUGGGUAAAGAAGCACCGGCUAACUACGUG
rnacentral:rRNA from 1 species